rnacentral:rRNA from 1 species
GUUCGGAUUGUAGUCUGCAACUCGACUACAUGAAGCUGGAAUCGCUAGUAAUCGCAGAUCAGAAUGCUGCGGUGAAUACGUUCCCGGGUCUUGUACACACCGCCCGUCACACCAUGGGAGUCGGAAAUGCCCGAAGCCGGUGACCAAACCAAUAAGGAAGGAGCCGUCGAAGGCAGGUCUGAUAACUGGGUGAAGUCGUAACAAGGUAGC